UUUAGUUCUUCUGGGUAUUGCUCGUUCCUAAAUAUUAUUAUAUAAUUGAGCAUCUUUGUUAAUCAAAUCCAUGUAUAGUGGUAAGUAUUCCCGUCUGUUACGCGGGAGACCGGGUUCGAUCCCCGACAAUAGCGUUCUUUUUCCCCAAAGCAGAAAGGCUGUUGGCGCAACUUUUACUUUUCUUCUACGCAUUUUCUAGGAAAAUGAAAUAGAAAAAAAAGGCCAUGAAUUUCACAACCUUAAACGAGCUAACUAAAACGUCCUCAGCAUAAUAGAAACAGAGAGAUAUCCGCCGUCUGAUCUUCCCUACUGAAACUCCCCUUCGUCCGAUCAUGACAACCAGCAUCCAUGUCACCGCCCUGGACAGUGUUGUGAACGUUAACUCCCUCUUCACGCUCGCCGUCUUCAUCGGCCUAACGUGGAACCCUUAUGAUUCCAGCAAUACCCUCGUCGACCCAGGUAGCCGAUGUUUCCCAAACUCAAAAAUCGCAGAAGACUUGAUAAAAUUCCACGUCUACUCCUUCAGUUCCUUCCUCUUCUCCAGCCUCGUCGCUUUAGCUCUUAAACAAGCAAUCAAGAUCUCCAAAACCCAUGCUUUUAACAUCGAUAUUAGGUUCCGUGGUUCUGAGUUUUUGGAACAUGUUGAUGUUAAUAAGACAUUACUUCGGGUCGGGAUGUUGGUUUCAGGUGCUGGGUCGGUGGCGGGAUGUGUGUUUUUGAUGUUGGCUUUGAUUAAUGUAGUUCAGAUAAAGGUUGGGACUUUGGCUUGUGGGAGUGGAUAUGCGUUUGCAGCGGUUGUUCCUCUUGUUAUUUUCGUUCCUCUUGCUCUUUUGAUCUAUGUUUGUUUCGGGCUUUAUGCUUUUACUCGUUAAGGUUUUGGUCUUCUUCUUCUGCUUCUUCUUCUUGGGAACCUUUGUUUUAUUGUAUGAUGUAGUUGGAAUUAUAGUGGAAUGAAGGGAUUAUGUUGUAACUUGGGUUUGUUGUUGUUGUAUGAUCUAGGUGGUUUUAUAAUGAAUCAAUAAAGAAAAGGUUUAAACUUUGAGAGAAUUGAGUUUUCUUGCUUAGAUUUUUCUUGAUUUGAAGUGUUUUUGGGUUUAUUUUGUUGCAUGAUCCAAGCUAGAAUUAUAAUGGAACAUAGCUAUAAAGAUUGGAACUUUGAGAAUUGUUGUUGAUGCUUCAUUUGGGUUUUUGGUUUCUUCUGGGGAUCUUUUUCUUGUACGAUAAAGUUGUUUUGAUAUUGUAUUUUAUCUUGGGCUUUUGAUUUUGUUGUUAUUAUUGUUGUAUAAUCUAGCUGAGAUUAUAGUGAAAUCUGGGUGUGAUCACAUUGAAAUUUUAACUUUGUAAUUUCAAGGAAAGACAUUUGUGUUCUUUCCGUACGACUAAGGAGAGAUCAUGAUGAAAAAGUGGGGUUGAUUGUCAUAAAGAUGUGAAAUGAACAUAUUUGUUAGACUUUUAGUUCGUAGUCUGCUAGAUCUGUUUGGGUUUUCGACAGAACUGAUGAAGAAAUUUUCUUUAUUAUCUAUUUUUAAUGGGUUGAGACAGUGCCGGUAUCAAGUUGGUGGAGAUCAGCUCUAGGUUUCAGAACAGUGAGUAGUGUUUGGCAAAUUUCUAGAGUUUGUAUUUCACCCACAUAUGAACUGGGAAACGAGUUGCUUAUUGAGGUUACUACAGGCAUUGAAGUCUUAGAACAUUGUUUUAAUGAGUUACAGAUGAGAAAGUAGCAGGAAUAAAGACCCAAAAACCACAAGCUUAUCAGCCCACAAACAUGCUAUGGAGGCAGAAUAGAAGAAGGGUUCAAUGGAGUGGAAGGACAUGAUGAUUAUGGUUCAUGUGGGAAACAUAACAUUGAGAAGGAAGCUGAGAAGCUGGCUCCUUG